rnacentral:rRNA from 1 species
UACGUAGGGGGCGAGCGUUAUCCAGAUUUACUGGGCGUAAAGCGCGUGUAGGCGGCUGGUUAGGUGUGAUGUGAAAUCUUCGGGCUCAACCCGAAAACUGCAUUGCAAACCGGCCUGGCUAGAGUGCAGGAGAGGGAAGCGGAAUUCCAGGUGUAGCGGUGAAAUGCGUAGAUAUCAGGAGGAACACCUGUGGCGAAAGCGGCUCACUGGACCAUAACUGACGCUGAUGCACGAAAGCUAGGGGAGCAAACAGG